GAGAAGGCCCCACAUAGCACCUUCAAGACUGUUUACUAGACAUGUUCCUGGUGCCAAAGCUGAAAUAGAUUUCCUUCUAAAUGAGCAGUUUUCAUGCACAGCGAAGGCACCCAGCAGUGAAAAGAAGCUGCCUGGGUGAUGAACGAGUGAAGGUGCUUCAAAAUGUCAGGAGAAAUGUCUGAGAAAUGUCGGAGAAAUGUCUGGGGUUCAAAGGGGAACCAGUGCUUGCAGACUGAAAGCAUUUUUCCCUCUGAGAGUUUAGGUGCAGGGUUAAAGUACUUGAACCUGGAAGAUUAAACUGGCGUUCGUUCUUUUUUCGAAAGCAGGCUGUAGUUAAUUUAAUUUUAUAAAGCGGAGCAAGAGAGCAAAAUCCUGCGAAUUCUAAACAUGUGUUAAUUAGACAUGACACUUAACAGACUAACAUUCUUGUUUUGUCACGCCAUGGCUAUUUCUUUUUAUUUAGCAGCCAGACUGUCAUUCGAUCAACCCAGUUUUCCUCUUAAAUGUUAAGAAUUUCUGUGAAUGGCCAUAUCACACUAGCACAAAGAUUCAUUGCAGCAGUGCCAAAAAAAGAGUCAGACGCCUCGAGUAGCUCUCCUGUCCCGCGGGAGUGAUUUGCUCUUUGUGAUGACCGGUGUUAACCAACACUGGCCUAUUGACUGCUUGUCCACAGUGAAGCCAUUGACGGACAGCGAGGUCUCAUUAGUGUUGCUGCUUUUGGUGGACGCCUGACCCCUAGUGGCCACACCAGGCAAUGACAUGUCAUUUAAAGCCUAUUGUAACUGUUUGAAAAUGUCAUCAUCCCAAACUGAAGCAGGGAGGUGGCCAUGUAGGUGGCAAAGAGUGACACAAGCCUUAAAAAUAAGCUUUGAGACUCUAAAUGCCAGUUCAAAUGUGACUAUUAACAUCACAUCUCAUUUGAGAGAUCUGUAGCUUCCAUAGGAAAUCAGGCUGACUCGUAGAGUUUUAAUUAUUCUGAGCAAAUUCAGUGACUAUUACAAAGUGUAGAAACAACUGUGAAGCUUAUCCUGCAAUUCCUCCAACUGUCUGCAGCCAGGCAACCCUUUAACUGUACAAUAAAUAAACUUUAUAAAUGUUAACCUCAUUAUUUAAAUGUCUAAAAUAAUAACUUGGAUAUUUAUUGGAGACAUGGAGCUUUCUAUUCCUGGACCUUCCAACUAUUAGGUAUGUCCAAGUCAACAGUUGUUUUUCAACUGACCACCUCACAGCACCUCACAGUCCCACCUUGGUUACACUAAAAUGUGCCCCUGGGUGCAAAUGAGUGCAUAAAUGUGUGUGUGUGUGUGUGUGUGUGUGUGUGGUGCCCCGUGAUGCACUCGUGUUCCAUACAGGGUGUAAUCCCUCCUUGUGUCCAUGGGAUAGGCUCCGGAUCCACCACCUCCCUGAACAAAAAAUAAAGCAGUUCCUGAGGAUGAAUGAAUGAAUGAUUCAAGUGACUAUAACUGUAUAAACUCGAUAAUAAGAAUAAUAACUUUUGAUAACAAUGUGUCUGCGGGUGGCUUUUUUUUUUUUUUUUGGACCGCGGCCACCAAAAACAAAUAAGCAAAUAAUCAGAGUGAACUCUAACCAAUUUCUGCAAUCAUAGGCUAUGGUACAGAAAGGGAAAGUGUAAGUCCAGACAGUGUAUCUGCGAUGGACAGAACCAUUUCUAUUGUAAGAUUCACUAUAUGGCCAAAAUGUGUUCCUUCACCAAACACACACAAUUCUAUAGAGUAUCUCAGUAUGCUGUAGCAUUACAAUUUCCCUUCACUGGAACUAAUUGGAGGUUAUUCCUAUGGCAAAGGAGGACUAAAUCUGGUAGGGGAUGUUCAAUAAGCAGUUGAGUGUGAUGGUCAGGUGUCCACAAACUUUUGGCCAUAUAGUGUAUAUUAAAAAUUGGGAGAUAAUGGGGGAUUAUGGAGUGGAUAAUAUCCGUACCAGGCGAUGACAAAAAGGCGUAGUGGAGAUGUUACAAAUCAGAAAUAUGCGUGCACCACGGUGAACUUGUUUCCCUGUUUUUGGAACCAUUUGGGCUAGGUUCAGCUCUUUCUGUGUGCUUUUUGAGCAUUAUUUUGCUGAGACCCUUCUUUGAGAACCUCUCCACUGUAGGAAUCAAUUAGUGCACUAGAUGUUAUCUACUGUGCUUUUGGACAUUUACAUUUACGGCGUUUGUCAGACGCCCUUAUCCAGAGUGACAGGUACAGUUUAUAUUUAUCUAAAUAAGAUGUAAAAACUUAAAUACAACUGAGCAGUUAAGGGUUAAGGGCCUUGCUCAAGGUCAGCAUGAGCCAGCACUGCCCUGACUCAUGGAUACAUGGAUAUAAAAAAAAAAACAAAACGAAACAACCCUCCCAAACUAGUGCACUCUGUAGUGAGGAACGUUCAGUUUCAGACCUACUAGCUGUCUUGGUUUUGUUUACUCUAACAUAAUGGGUCUAAUUGUCACAUAUUUCUUUUGAUCAUCCGGGUUCAUUUUGACUUCCGGUGGGCGUGGCUUAGGCUCUCCCCCCUCCCCCUUCCCUCCGCCCUCCUCAUCGCGAGCGCGAGCAGGUGCUUGCCCCCCCUCUUCCUCCCCGCGAUGGGAAGCUCCGCCCACUCAGCGGAGGCAGCCGGCUCAGCUCAGCGUCGACUCGGCGCUACUGCUGCUCCCGUGUCAACAAAGUAGCCUACAAGCUCUCUGUGUGUGUGUAUGUGUGUGUGUGUGUGUGAGUGUGUGUGUGACACAAUGGAUACAUGUUUCUACCUCAGCUGGGAUUUAUAAGGAAGGAAGAAAUAGGAAUUUACUCUGUUUAUCGCUCGCUGUCUUCCAGCCGUGCUUUCGGAGUGUGGCCAUGGAGACGAGCCCAGCAUGUGUCUACUGAUGAGCCUGGAGUGGGAAAUGAACCAACACGAGCUAUUUAUCACACACACACACACACACACACACACACACACACGCACACACAAAACUCCUUCCUCCCCCCAUUCAUGAUUAUUCCUUUCUCUCUGUCGCUCUCUCUCUCUCUCUCUCUCUCUCUCUCUCUCUGAUUCUCUCUCUCUCUCAGGCAGACAGGCUAUUAGGUUGUAAUUGGGGCAUUUGAGAGUGUGUAUAUGUGUGUGUAAGUGUGUGAGUGUCAGGAACUGCGUUAGCCUGGGCUCUGGCAGAGCACAGGGAGCAGUAAUUAGCAAAAUUAGCAAACCGCAGGCAGCAUCUGAGCUCUGAUUAGCGCUGGCUCUUGAACCAUUAAUGCAGGAGACCACUGUGUCAACUGCACCUCCGAGACCAGGACUCGGGGAAAAGGAGGAAAGGAGGAGAGAAACGAGAGAGAGAGAGAGAGAGAGAGAGAAGAGGUGGAGCUCAGUAUUAUCAAGGUUUGAGAAAGGGGUGGGGACAUGCGGCAAAGAUAUCAUAUCACAAUACUUCUGUACAGAAGAAUAAAUUUAAUAUUGUUUGGUAUAUUUUUCAGUGUAAAUUUUUCAUGUGUGUUACAAAAUAGCUAGAUGUAUGAAUAUGCAUCAUAUGCAAAUGAUAUGCAAAUCUCAAAUUGCUUGCAAGUUAGUAAAUUGGUUUUGUUACAGGUGGACACGAGUGGGAUUUCUGUAAGCUGUGUUUCCGUUCAAUUUAAAAAUUAAUACAUAUAUAUAAGGGCAUGAGAUGAUCCUGUGUUUACAGAGAAAAGACGACAAUAUCUCCGUGCAUGUCUGCAUAUGGAAAGAAAAGACGGCAAAACGUCAGCGUAAUGAAGAGAUUUAACAUUCAGCAUUUGUUCGAUUCAUUUAAGCGCUUUAGCCUGCUUUUGUUAGUUAAAUCAAGAAAGACGUUUGUUUCUUCCAAACAGAGCUCGAGUUCCUCUGGGGAGAAGUUUUGUAUAACUCUGAAAUGUGACGUGACUUCAUUUAUUCAAAAAAACAGAUAUUUCUAGCUUUUUGCAUUCUCGUUUUUUUGUUGUCAUUUAGAUUUUCAAAAUUUGCAUAAGAGCUAUAUUUGCUUCCUUAUAUCUUUUUAUGAUUUAUGUAUCAACAAACCAACCUGUCAGCAUAUAACAUCAACAUAAACCAUGAUUUAGUUCGUCAUUGACAUUAGCCAUUUUGAGAUUAAUUUUCACCACUGUUAGGGCACAGUGGCUUAGUGGUUAACACGUUUGCACGCCUCCGCCCUGUGUGUGCGUGGAGUUUGCAUGUUCUCCCCAUGUGUAGGGGUUUCCUCCCCAGUCCAAACCCAUGCGAUGUAGGCUGAUUGGCAGCUCUAAUUUGUCCGUACUGUGAGGAUGAGUGUGUGUGUGAUAUCGAUGUUACAUCAUCAUAUCGCCCAGCCCUACUGUGAGCCUGUGAUAAGUUUAAUGGGAAGUUGUUAUACUGUGAGAAAAUUCCAAGCGCCACUAAUUCUGAGGAAAGAUCUUUUGACGGAUAGAGAGCUGUGUGUGAUGUAGUACAUGGUGUGUGUCUGUGUAGCAAAAAAAAUCUCCAGCUCGAAUCUUUGGUACUGGAAUGGUAGAUAAUGGUGUAAGACAAAAGACAGGAUAAAGAAAGAUGGAGGAUGAAAGUACUUGAGUGUACUACUUCUGCUUUGUCCUCUGGUAGGCAGGUAAAGGAGGGACGUGUGUGUGUGUGUGUGUGUGUGUGUGUGUGAUGUGAAAAUUAUCGAAUACCCCGCUGAUUCAAAAGCAACUUUGUACAAAACGCACGCCUUUGUCUACCCUUUGUCUGCAUUGUGGCUCUCCUAUUUGUGUGUAAUUUUGUGUGAUUAUGUGUCGUAAUGUAAUGCUAGUCUUUAGCCAGCAGAGUGCAUUAGGUAGAAUCUGGAAGCCAAGCCUCUGAUCUGUGUGUGUGUGUGUGUGUGUGUGUGUGUGUGUGUGAUAGUGAAAUGCUGUAGGUGGAUGAGACGUGCUCUGAGCUGUAAUGGUUCCCCUGCUGUCUGCUGUAGCUCUUUAAUGGAGCUGGAUGCAGGCCUGGGCCGUAAUGAUGGAGCACACACAUCCUGCCUCUGAGCAAAACACACACACACACACACAAACACACAGCACAACUUUUCCGUCUCCUUAAACAUUUCAUUUUAAAACAUUAAACGAUUCUGUUUAGAAUAACUCAUUUACCAUCUUCUUUAAAGAAAAUGACAUCAUAUGAAUAUGCAUGAACAUGCAAAUUGGUAGACGCCCCAUGUCCUCCUGCAAUGUGUGACAGCUAGCUAACUGCUGGUAAAUUAGCUUAAAUUUAUCACAUAGGGUUUUAAUAUUAUUAAGUCGCAUCACCUUUUUAGUUAAUCCUUGAAAUAAACCUUUCAACCUUGUAUGCUACCAUAGCGACCAUCAUUUUGUAUCUCAGUAGCUAACGUUAUAUAAGUAACGCUUAUUGAGUGUAUUUUAUGACCUCACAAAGAGAGGUCCUGCAUAGCUCCGCCCCAACCAGAGCAUUGUCUUCUUGUAAUAAUUUGCGUUUCGAAUGCGAUAGGAUAAAGCCGUUGAGCAUAUUUUAUGACAUCACACAGCGAGCUCCACCCCUAAUCAGUUUUACAUCGCAGUACUGAAGUUUUAAAAGGAAAACAAAAAGUGAUGCAAACAUCCGUCAGCUGUUCCAUCUACAAAUAAAAUGUUAUACAAGACUUAUUGGUAGAGGUAGAUACAGAGGUGUGAUAGGUGUGUGUGUGUGUGUAUGUGUGUGUCACAUCUCUUCAAUCCACACUGACAGAACCAGUCAGGCUGGGUGAACCGUGUGCUCUCUGUUCUAUCCUCCCAUCCUCGGGGUGUGUGAAGCCCUGAGGCUGAAAUUCCGACCUCGCGGACACACCAAUGCCUCUCCGCUAUAAGUAUGCAGACAUGUCCACCCACACACACACACACACACACACACACACACACACACACGCACACUCACGCGCACGCGCUCGUUAUUUCCAGGUAAAGAGAGGCAGAUGAAUUACACUAGAUAGCAGCCUUUACAGUGCUCUGCUUCUUUUAACGAGCUGAUAGGCAAAUCUGUUCCUGGUUAAAGAUUAACGGCUCUCCAGGGCACUCUGCCUGUUAUCUGCUCAGCAGGCCAGGCCACACCGGAGCCACUGGGGAUUACUCUGUGUGUGUGUGUGUGUGUGUGUCUCUCUCUCUGUGUUUACAGGCUAGCCAGACAAGAUAUAGGCUAGCAAUGGGAUUUACUUGCAACUAUUUUACCAAAUGAAAGGGUGCCAAUAAAAACCAGCAUUGCAUGAAAGAGUGCGAUGUGGAGAUGGGCGAUCCUGAUAUCACCGGUAUAAUUUUUCUCUUUUCCUUGGUCGGAUAGUCUGAUUCUUUUCUUUUUUUGGUGCUUUAUUAGCAUAACCAAAAAUAUGAUUGAUAUCAGGUGUUGUAAAAAUGCUCUGGAUUUAAAUAGUGAGAUGAAGGGCUGAUAAAAUAGUGAGUGUUUAAGGAGCUGUAACGCCUCAUAUGGAGUCAUGUAGCGGCCUCUGCUGGAGAAAGAGUAUAAGACCUAGAAUUUAUUUUCUCUAGGUGCUGAACAUUAUUGCGAUUUCACUCUUAAGUGUUAUUUUGCUUCAGCCAUUUACAUGCAAAUAUCACCCUUUACCCUGGAAAAAUAAAACUGUGAAUCCAAGAGGAAAAAAAAUCACUGAUUACAAUCAAUCAUUGUAAGUUUAUUCUUAAUUCCUGACAGUUAACGACACGAUUAGUUUGUUUUCUAGAUUUUCCCUGGUAACACACCAAGAGUAUGUUUUUUUUAAACUUUACAUGUUGUUUUAAUUACAGUUUCAUUCAUAUUAAUCAAUUUACUAAACGAUAUUGUGUAUAAAACCACAUUCAUGAAAAUGCGAUAACACCCACAGAAGUAACAGACGUGCUGUUUGAUUGCUAACAGGUCUUCAGAGAAAGAGAAUUGGGUAUGUCGAAUGAGCAAAAUCGUACAUUAUGUCUGGUUUUGACUUUGUAUUGUAAUGCAUAAGUGAUAUUACAGCAGUUGCCGGGUCUGAAGGGGUUAAAGGGAGUGCGUUUUUUUUUUUUUUUUUUUUUUUUUUUUUUCCAGUUGUGCUGGUCACAGUAGCAUGCAGUUCAUUAUUUCCUCUUUUCCAACACCUCAUUUAGGUCACGGAGGACUUGAUAUUUAGGUCUAACUAAUGAGCUGAGUCAGAUAUGAGAUAUGUAGAAGGGUGAUGGUGUGAGUCACAUUGUUCCAAAACAAAGCAAAGCCUUCGAGUCACGAUAAGCAGCCAGUUGCACCAGUUCAACUUCUGAUUGAUCGUAGCCUAGUGAGAACCUGAAUUCCCGCACCACUGUAGCGACACUGAACACAGCUUUACGUUAUAACUACAUUAAUAUUUUGUUAAUUUGGUUGAGAUUAAAUUAGAUUUGAGCGCCUCCAGUCUGAGAAACAAGCUUCAGGAGAGCGUGAGCACAAGUACAAAUAAAAGACGCGUACGCGUGUAUAGUAUAUUGUAUACGUGUGUAUAGUAUAUUCGAAUGUCAUACCUUGAAAUUUCUUUUUGAUGUUGGAUUUUGUCACUGAUUGGUUGAUGAAUACAGUACUAUAGUAUACUAUAGUACAGUAUAGUAUAGUAUAGUACAGUAUAGUACAGUUCUGAUAUGAAUCAUUUACUGUCAUUCUUUAUUUAAAUUUCCUUUGGAUGUUGGAUUGUGGUACUGAUUGGUUGAUAAAUAUAGUGUAACUAAAUAUGGUACUGUGUAGUAUCUUUAAAUAUGACUCAUUUGAAUGUCAUACCGAAUCUAAAAUUUCUUGUGAUGUUGGAUUGGGUUACUGAUUGGUUGAUGAACAUAGUUUAUAGUAUAUUACAGUAUAAUAUGACAUAGUUGUAAUAUGACUAAUUAACUGUCAUACCUUAUCUAAAAUUCCUUUUCGUUAUAUUGGCCCUGAUUCCUGAAUAUAGUAGUAUAGUAUAGUAUAGAAGAGUAUAGAAGAGUAUAGUUGUAAUGUGACUAAUUAACUGUCUAAAUUCCUUCUGAUGUUGGGUUGUGUUACUGAGUGAUUGCUAAAUAUAGUAGAACAGUAUAGUAUAGUACAGUACAGUACAGUAUGUUAUAGUAUAGUAUACUUGCAAUAUGACUAAUUUGAAUGUCAUACCUGUCAUACUACUAUUUCUUUCUAUGCUCUGCAUGUCAUACCAUUCUAAAAAUAGAAUAAUAUGAACAUAUGGUUCAUAGCGUUUAUCGUUUUAUAGAACACCUGCAGGGUCACGUGUUGAACGCUCUGAAAACGUGAGCAGUGAUGGAGGGUUUCUUUCUUGUGAUUGACAAGAGAAAGAAUCUUGUACCUGAAAUGUGAUCUCCUUUCCCCGAUUGUGUGUCGUGGUGUCGCUGUGUGUGUGUUUGUGCAACGCUGUGAAUCAAAGUUAGGAAAUAUGAAGCCUUAAGCGAAAGUGUGGUGCUUGUGUGUGUGUGUGUGUGUGUGUGUGUGUGUGUGAGAUUGUAAUUGUACCGCAGUAUUGUGUGAAUCAGAAACACUUUGGCUUUACAUGGUGUGGUGUUUAAGUGAUGUGGUCUGUGAUGAUCGGUGCUGCUAGCCCCGCCCCCACGUACCGUCAGUUCCUGUUGGUAACGGUGGCUGAAAGAAAAGCACAGUGUCAGGUUUGUGAUGGCAAAAGUGUUGCUGCUGUGUGUGGUGGAGCAUUGCUGUACCUGUGUGUGUGUGUGUGUGUGUGUGUGUGUGUGUGUGUGUACGUGUACGUGUGUGUGUGGGCCUAAAGGGGCCAACCACAAAGCUGAGUUUUGUUCUUGAGAUGGCCGCUGCCUCCACCUCUGCCUCAGGCUCUAUCUAUCUCUAUCUCUCUAUCUCUGUGGGUGGUGACUCCCUCUUUAUCUGUGUCUCUCCUCUGUUUAUCUCUCUUUUAGUCUGUAGUUUGUCUAUUUCGUUCUUUCUCUUAUUCUAUCUCUCCAUCUCUCUUUUUCCUUCUCUCUCUCUCACUAUCUUUCUUCUCCUCUCUUUUUCUCUUUCUCUCUCCCUGUCUUUCUGUCUGUCACUCUCUGUUUCUGCCUGUCACCCUUGUUUCUCUGUCUUUCUCUCUCCCUUGCUCCCUCUCUCUGUCUCUCCCUCUCUCUUUCUCUUUCACUUUCUCUCUUUCCUCCUCCUCUCUCUCUCUUUUUCUUUCUCUCUCUCUUUCACUCUUUGUGUCUCUCUCCUUCUCCUCUCUCUGUCUUCCCCAUUCUCUCUCCCUCUCUGUUGAUCUUUCUCUAUCUCUCGCUUUCCUUCUCCUUCUCUCCCUGACCCCUUUUUCUCUGUCUGUCUCUCUCUGUCUCUCUCUCUGUCUCUCUCUCUCUCUCUCUCUCUCUCUCUCUGAGAAAGCCACGAGCUGAGCAAGGAGGAAAUGAGUAAAAGGAACAAGUCAUUCUAGCUGGUGAUGAUAGCAGCGAGGGGGAGGAGUGAUGAAUCCUCUUGUUAACCCUUUCAUCCCUGAGCAAUGUCUGAUUAAAUAUUAACCAUCAAAUGACAGAGCUCUAAUGGCAUACACACGCUCGCAGGAUCUGCGUUUUAUUCUCAUGGAGGUUUAAAGAUGAACUGAAAUCGAUAGUUUUACAUCAGUGCUUUUAAACGUUUUUUAAUUUAUCUCAUAUCAUUGUGCACUCGAAGGCUGGGAAAACGAUAUCGACCAAUCAGAUCUCUGCUUCAACGUGUAUUCGUUUCACUCAGAAAUGAAACAUGGAAGAAAAAAUGUCAUUCAGUUGUGAUGCUAGAGCUUGAUUCAUAGUCUGUGUACAUGUGUGUGUGUGUGUGUGUGUGUGUGAGAGAGAGAGAGAGAGAGAGAGAGAGAGGUUGUUGCGGGGCAAGGUCUUAACAGUGCACGCCAGAACAAGCCUCCACCUCUGCCUCAGGCUCUAUCUCUCCACACACACGCACACAGACACACACAGACACACACAGAGACACACACACACACACACACACACACACACAUGCACACACACACACCAAGGCUAAAUCCUCCAAACUUCAAAGAGAAUGGGUCAGAUGGAGUGUCCAUGUCUGCGAGGUAGAAGAGGCAGCUGAUGUCUCUCUCUCUAUCUCUCUCUCUCUCUCUCUCUCUCUCUCUCUCUCUUUCUCUCCCUGGCAGUGGGAGCAUGCCUCUGUUAUCUCCGACAGGCUGAGGAAUUAUAGGUUGAGAGGGGAAGAGGAGGAGGAGGAGGAGGAGAGGAAAGCAGGGAGAGGAGGUCAUGUGACAUUGCAGCAGCUGCUAGGCUGAGAGUUUUCACUCGCUGAGAGAGAGAGAGAGAGGUGGGAGGGUGAGUGAGAGAGAGAGAGAUAGGCAGUGUGUGUGUGCCGCUUUGUUAGAUAAGCUCUUUGUGAGAGAGAGAGAAACAAGAAGGAGGAAAGUGAGAGGAGAAAGAUGGUGAUUCCCUCAGCAGCUCGGACGAGCGAGGCUUGGAAGAUGCAGCGAUGGGUGACAGAGACAGAGACGGCGCCGCUCCUUUGUGCAGAACUUUCUCAGAAGCUAAGGAACCUUAAGGAAGUUCCAAGAUCUUUAUCGUCUCCACUGGAUGUUACGAUACAGUAUGGCACAGUUACUCAACCAAAUUCAUACCCUCACUGCAUCAGUAUUAAAUUGGUUCGAGAUAAUCUACUUCUCCAACGGUAAUGUUCGGCGUGCCUCGGAAGUGGAAAGUCGGAGCUCGGAAUGAUGUCAUUUUUGACCUUUGUGUGUUCAAGCUACAAAAUGGGGAAAAACCAUGGACACCACCAUGUUCUUCUUUGUGAUACGUGAUGUAUAUUUACCUCGUCAAAACAGUGAGCUGUGAUAGUCUGUGUUAUAGAUUUAACAAGCUAAUCUGUCUGUAUAUUAAUUGAUCCAAGGCAAAUACGUGUAUAAACAGUAUAACUCAUUUAAAGGUAAGAAGUGCUGCUGUAUUUACUGUUCAUGCUGUGAGCGGCCAUGUUGAUUUGAUGUCACUUGCUGAACUCAGGGUUCUUCAGUGUUAGGGGGCGUUUUCUUUUUAACCUUUUUUAGUCGGCUGGGAAGUUACAGUCAGAAGUUAUGACUUACAGCCUUCAGUAAUGUAAGUAAUUAGUAGUGCAGUUGGCAGUAAAGUACCAUAGUCUGUUUACGUGUUCAUGUGUAAAGGUAGAAGUUUUCUGGAGGUCGCUAUGGCAACAUCAUCUGCCACGUAAUGCAAGGGUUAACAGUAAACACUAACAACAGUAGCACCAAUCAAAGUGCUUCAAGGACUAAUUUACUUUUUACUCUGCAUUUCGUUUUGUGAAGUGUCAACCGAACAAACGCUACUGAAAGUGAAUAUACAGAGAGAUUCUAGCUAGCUCGGCUACGUCCCAAACCACAUACUCUGUUGUUCCUUAUAGUGCGCUUUAUUUAAUAAGAAA